GGAGAAGAAGCAUUCCAUGGCCAUAUAUAACUUAGGGUGUGUUUGUGGGAUCCACAUUGGUGGCUGUGGAGAUGCAUUGCCAAGUCCUGCAUUUACUCCAUGGGCAUGAUUGGGUUCCUUGUUUGUAGAGAACAGAUUGGAGCAACUGAGAGUAUGUGGGUACAUAGCUUUUUAUCUCAUGUGUCUGCUAAUUUCAUGGAGGAUCAUUGUAAUGGAAGAGGAGGCAGGACCUUGAGACAGUCUAGGCCAUCCUCUGAUGGCCUG
rnacentral:lncRNA from 1 species